GACGAACGCUGGCGGCGUGCUUAACACAUGCAAGUCGAACGGAAAGGCCCUGCUUUGGUGCGGUGCUCGAGUGGCCAACGGGUGAGUAACACGUAAGUAACCUGCCCUUGACUUUGGGAUAACUUCAGGAAACUGGGUCUAAUACCGGAUAGGAUCUCCUGCUGCAUGGUGGGGGCUGGAAAGUUUCGUCGGUUGGGGAUGGACUCGCGGUUGAUUAGCUUGUUGGUAGGGUAGUGGCCUACCAAGGCUUUGACGCAUAGCUGGCCUGAGAGGGUGAUCAGCCACACUGGGACUGAGACACGGCCCAGACUCCUACGGGAGGCAGCAGUGGGGAAUAUUGGACAAUGGGCGAAAGCCUGAUCCAGCAAUGCCGCGUGAGUGAUGAAGGCCUUAGGGUUGUAAAGCUCUUUUACCCGGGAUGAUAAUGACAGUACCGGGAGAAUAAGCUCCGGCUAACUCCGUG
rnacentral:rRNA from 1 species